GACGAACGCUGGCGGCGUGCUUAACACAUGCAAGUCGAGCGAAUGGAUUGAGAGCUUGCUCUUAUGAAGUUAGCGGCGGACGGGUGAGUAACACGUGGGUAACCUGCCCAUAAGACUGGGAUAACUCCGGGAAACCGGGGCUAAUACCGGAUAACAUUUUGAACCGCAUGGUUCGAAAUUGAAUGGCGGCUUCGGCUGUCACUUAUGGAUGGACCCGCGUCGCAUUAGCUAGUUGGUGAGGUAACGACUCACCAAGGCAACGAUGCGUAGCCGACCUGAGAGGGUGAUCGGCCACACUGGGACUGAGACACGGCCCAGACUCCUACGGGAGGCAGCAGUAGGGAAUCUUCCGCAAUGGACGAAAGUCUGACGGAGCAACGCCGCGUGAGUGAUGAAGGCUUUCGGGUCGUAAAACUCUGUUGUUAGGGAAGAACAAGUGCUAGUUGAAUAAGCUGGCACCUUGACGGUACCUAACCAGAAAGCCACGGCUAACUACGUGCCAGCCGCCGCAGUAA
rnacentral:rRNA from 1 species